rnacentral:rRNA from 1 species
UCCGUAGGCGGGCACUUAAGUCAGUGGUGAAAUCCCACAGCUCAACUGUGGAACUGCCUUUGAUACUGGUUGUCUUGAGUUACAGUGAAGUAGAUAGAAUAUGUAGUGUAGCGGUGAAAUGCAUAGAUAUUACAUAGAAUACCGAUUGCGAAGGCAGUCUACUAACUGUAUACUGACGCUAAUGGACGAAAGCGUGGGGAGCGAACAGGAUUAGAUACCCUGGUAGUCC